AGAGUUGAUCCUGGCUCAGGACGACGCUGGCGGCGUGCUUAACACAUGCAAGUCGAACGGAGCACCCUUGAAGGAGUUUUCGGACAACGGAUAGGAAUGCUUAGUGGCGGACUGGUGAGUAACGCGUGAGGAACCUGCCUUCCAGAGGGGGACAACAGUUGGAAACGACUGCUAAUACCGCAUGACGCAUUGGUGUCGCAUGGCACUGAUGUCAAAGAUUUAUCGCUGGAAGAUGGCCUCGCGUCUGAUUAGCUAGUUGGUGAGGUAACGGCCCACCAAGGCGACGAUCAGUAGCCGGACUGAGAGGUUGGCCGGCCACAUUGGGACUGAGAUACGGCCCAGACUCCUACGGGAGGCAGCAGUGGGGAAUAUUGGGCAAUGGACGCAAGCCUGACCCAGCAACGCCGCGUGAAGGAAGAAGGCUUUCGGGUUGUAAACUUCUUUUAAGGGGGAAGAGCAGAAGACGGUACCCCUUGAAUAAGCCACGGCUAACUACGUG
rnacentral:rRNA from 1 species